UUCUUUAUAUAUUUAGAUUGUGUUAUAAGCAGUGCAAUUCAAAGACGUAAUAAUGGCGAACAAGUCUUCCCAUGCUCAUACUUGUUGAAGUCGUAUUGUAGAUCAAUCGCAUAAAGACAGGAAGCUUUAUCAUCAAAUUGCAUGUGUAAUUCUUAAUCAGGCUGCUUUUAGUGAUAACUGGAGGCUUGCUGAACCAAUUUUAAAGAAGGAUCUGAGCUUUGUUCAUGAAAAUAUAUCGCGUAUUGGAACAAUACUUCACAUUGCAGCAAUAGCAAGAAGUACCGGAUUUCUGCAAGAGCUAAUGAGACUGAUGAAACCAGAUGAGUUGGAACUGAAAAAUAAAUAUGGGGAGACGGCAUUCCAUCAUGCAGCAGCGUCAGGGUAUAUUUAAAUUGUUAAAGCAAUGAGGGAAAGGAAUAACAAUCUACCAAACAUCCCUAUUAGCGAUGGACGACAAAUACAAAUCACUCUGGCAGCUUUGUUUGGGCCUAAAGCUAUGGUAUUAUACCUUUUUGAUGGGAUACAACAACAAGAUCGCUUAGAGCUUCUUCGGGUCACAGUCCACAGUGAGUUAUGUAGCAUUAUAUAUAUUCAACAAGGAAAAGGAAUUAGCCAGUAAGAUGUUACAAUUAGGAGGCAGCGGAAUCUUAGGCAGGUUAUCUAUAAGCUCCUUAGAAUGCAGAGGAAACUUGAAAAAACCCAGUGGAGAAAGUUUGUUAGUGUGAUUUCCAUGGCCAAAAGACAAUUAAGAUUUACUGGACUUUAACUAAGUAGUCAUUAUUUUGUAUGGACACAAGCUUAUUAUUAUAUAUCAUGCGUACAUAGUGCUAAAAUUGCUUCAAACGAUGGAUCGAUCAGGGGAAAGAUAUGUAGGUGGUUUACUACUUGAAAAGCUAUGGACGGAGUGUAAAAGAUGUGAUGAGGAUAAACUAUUAGAGCUAGUGAAAAGGGAAAUGUAGGAUUUUUAGUUGUGGUUGCUCGCAUUCAUCCUGAUCUCAUAUGGUCAUUCAACGAUAAACAUCAGACCAUUUUUCAUACUGCAGUUAUAUAUCGUGAAGAGGAAGUCUUCAGUCUUCUACAUCAAACGGGAGGAAUUAAAUUGAAAUACAAUCUAUUGCAAUGAAUUCGUGUAUGAUUGUUUCAACUUUGAUUGCCACAAUGGUCUUUGCUGCUGGAUUCACUGUGCCAGGAGGUAAAUAACAGUGAUAAUGGCAUUCCAAUAUUGCUAAUUUUGUAUGGAUUUGUAAUAUCAGAUGCAGUGCCACUAUUCACCUCAAUCGUUUCCAUCAUUAUGUUCUUGUCCAUUCUCACAUCUCGCUAUGCUGAAGAUGAUUUUCUUGUGUCAUUGCCCGCCAAGUUAUUGUUUGGACUCACAAUGUUGUUUGUCUCGAUAUUUAGCUGUUAGGACCGAAAAUAAGCAGGUGUAAACGCGAAAGCUAGUAAUGCAAACCUCGAAAGACCACGAGUAAGAAGACAACGAGAAAUAUACCAAAAGACACAAAGAUUUAACAUGGUUCGGUCAGUCAACCUACGUUCACAAAGGAGAUGAGCAAUCCACUAUAAAUAUGAGAGUACAAAAUUCAGAGAUAAA